CGGCAGCACGGAGCUUGCUCUGGUGGCGAGUGGCGAACGGGUGAGUAAUAUAUCGGAACGUACCCUGGAGUGGGGGAUAACGUAGCGAAAGUUACGCUAAUACCGCAUACGAUCUACGGAUGAAAGUGGGGGAUCGCAAGACCUCAUGCUCGUGGAGCGGCCGAUAUCUGAUUAGCUAGUUGGUAGGGUAAAAGCCUACCAAGGCAUCGAUCAGUAGCUGGUCUGAGAGGACGACCAGCCACACUGGAAAUGAGACACGGUCCAGACUCCUACGGGAGGCAGCAGUGGGGAAUUUUGGACAAUGGGCGCAAGCCUGAUCCAGCAAUGCCGCGUGAGUGAAGAAGGCCUUCGGGUUGUAAAGCUCUUUUGUCAGGGAAGAAACGGUGGAGGCUAAUAUCCUCUGCUAAUGACGGUACCUGAAGAAUAAGCACCGGCUAACUACGUGCCAGCAGCCGCGGUAAUACGUAGGGUGCAAGCGUUAAUCGGAAUUACUGGGCGUAAAGCGUGCGCAGGCGGUUUUGUAAGUCUGAUGUGAAAUCCCCGGGCUCAACCUGGGAAUUGCAUUGGAGACUGCAAGGCUAGAAUCUGGCAGAGGGGGGUAGAAUUCCACGUGUAGCAGUGAAAUGCGUAGAUAUGUGGAGGAACACCGAUGGCGAAGGCAGCCCCCUGGGUCAAGAUUGACGCUCAUGCACGAAAGCGUGGGGAGCAAACAGGAUUAGAUACCCUGGUAGUCC
rnacentral:rRNA from 1 species